rnacentral:rRNA from 1 species
GCAAGUCGAACGAUGAACCUGUGCUUGCACGGGGGAUUAGUGGCGAACGGGUGAGUAACACGUGAGUAACCUGCCCUUGACUUCGGGAUAAGCCUGGGUAACUUGGUCUAAUACUGGGUACGACCUCUCUCCGCAUGGUGUGGUGGUGGAAAGUUUUUGCGGUUUUGGAUGGACUCGCGUCCUAUCAGCUUGUUGGUGAGGUAAUGGCUCACCAAGGCGACGACGGGUAGCCGGCCUGAGAUGGUGACC